GCCCUGCUGGCGCAAUGGUAGCGCGCAAGACUUCUACCCGACAUUUCUCACCUUAAUGUGGUAGGGAUGUAGGAAUCUUGAGGUUGUGGGUUCGACCCCCACGUAGGGCU